ACAGCAGCAGCCACGGUAAUACGGAGGGUGCAAGCGUUAAUCGGAAUUACUGGGCGUAAAGCGCACGCAGGCGGUCUGACAAGUCAGAUGUGAAAUCCCCGGGCUUAACCUGGGAACUGCAUUUGAAACUGUCAGGCUGGAGUCUUGUAGAGGGGGGUGGAAUUCCAGGUGUAGCGGUGAAAUGCGUAGAGAUCUGGAGGAAUACCGGUGGCGAAGGCGGCCCCCUGGACAAAGACUGACGCUCAGGUGCGAAAGCGUGGGGAGCAAACAGGAUUAGAUACCCGCGUAGUCCCUGUCUCUUAUAC
rnacentral:rRNA from 1 species